CCCGCUCAGUCCACAAUUACCAUCUCAGGCCAAAUAUCUUAACACAGGACAAAGCCUUUGUUUCCUUAAACAGAAACUCCAAAGGGCUUGCCCUGUCAGCCCUCCAGUGCCCUGACAUCUCUGAAUGGGCACCUCGUGCCCAGGACCCAUCUCUGAGAGCCCUGUCAGUUCUCCAGUGUGCCUCUUAUCUCUCAAUUCCCAUUCAGAGGUACCAGGCAGUGAACUAAGGUUAAUUCUGAGAACUUCUCAACAUACUCAUCUGGCCCUGUGUGACCUUGAAAAAGUCAUUUAACUACCAGUCUUUUCUGUAAAGUAAGGAAUAUUCUUUCUUUUCUUUAUGAUUUAGAGACAGGGUCUUGCUUUGCUGCCGAGGCUGGAGUAUAGUGGCAUGAUCAUAGCUCACUGCAGCACUGAACUCCUGGGCUCAGGCAGUCCUCCCACCUCAGCUCCUAAGCAGCAGAGAUCACAGGCUUUCACUAAGAGCAUUUUAAAGAGUGACAGAUGGGAGCAGGCAUCUGCGUGAGGCUAAACAGACCCGGGCAAACACACCCAGCAGCUUCAACGAGCCGUGGCUGACUGAAGUUAAACCCUGUCCUCAAUGCCAGCACCUCCUCUGUGACCACCUGCUGAGCUGAUACCAAGUUCUCAGAAUGAGGACUACUCCAUGUCAGUGGGGUCUGAGGACACCCCAACUCAAGCCAAACUUUAAACAUCUGGAAGCCUCCUUGCAGAAGCUCUUCAGUGAUGCGGUCUCAUUAUCUUGCUGAGGCUGGUCUUGAACUCCUGGACUCAAGUAAUCCUCCCACCUUGGCCUCCCAAAGUGCUGAGAUGACAUGUAUAAGCCACUGCACCUGGCUGGUUGUUGCUUUCUGCAUCUAAGAAAUCUUUGUCCACUUUCAAGUCAUUGAGGAUAUUCUGGUAUGUUUCUCUCUAAAAGCUUUAUGGUUUUAGCUGUUGUAUGUAGGUCUAUGAAUUUCUCUAUGGUAUGAGAUAGGAGUUGUGGUUCUUUUUUUUUUUUUUUUUUUUUGCAUAGGAAUAUCCAAUUAUCCUAACACCACUUACUGCAAAAAUUUCACAUUAGCCACUGAUCAUAUAAAUGUGAUCUGUUUCUUGGAUUUCUAUUCUGUCCCAUGGUUGUACUUGUUAUCUUUAUGCCAGCACCACACUUUCUUGAUUAUUUUAAGUUUUGAAGCCAAACAGGGCAUAUCUUCCAACUUUUUAAAGUUUGCUUUGCUUAUUCAAGGUCCUUCUCAUUUUCAUAUAUAAUUUAGAAACAGUCUGUAGACUUCCACAGAAAAAAAACCUGCUGAAAUUUUUGAAUUGAAACACCAAUUUGGGUAGAAGUGAAUGUUAACACUGAGCCUUCCAGUAUGUGAACAUGAUAUGCCUCACCAUUUAUUCAAGUGUUCAUUAAAAUUUUCAGCAAUGUUUUAUGGUUUUCACUGUAAAGUUCUGGUCAUCUCUUAUUAAAUUUUUUCCUAAUUUUAAUUUUUAAAUUUUAUUUCCUACUGUAAAUGGGACUGGGCUUUUGGUUUCAUUUUCCAAUUGUUGGUUGCUAGUACAUAAAAUACAACUCACUUUUGUAUAUUGAGCUGUGUCCUAUGACAUUGGUAAAUCAAAUCCACUUAUUAGUGCUAAUAAUUGUUUGUAUAUUCCUUAGAAUUUUCUGCAUAAAAUCAUGUCAUCUGCAAACAGAAGCAAAUGUAUGUCUUACUUUUUGUUCUUUAAACCUCUCUCUCCUUUGUCUAUUGCAAUGAUGAGGAACACCAAUACAAGGUUGAACAGAAGAGGUAAGAAUGGGCACCCUUACCUUGUUUCCAAUCUUAAGAAUGUAUUCAAUAUCUCAUGCCAUUAAAUAUAAUGUUAGCUGUAUGUUUUCUUUGAGACAGGGUCUCACUUUGUCGCUCAGGUUGGAGUGCAGUGACAUGAUCAUGGCUCACUGCAGCCUCAACCUCCUGGGCUUCAAGCGAUCCUCCUGCCUCAGCCUCCCAAGUAGCUUGGGACUACAGGAGUGCAUCACUAUGCCCGGCUAACUUUUAAUUUUUUUGUAGAGACAAGGUCUCACCAUGUUGCCCAGGCUGCUCUUAAGACUCCUGGGCUCAAGUGAUCCUCCCAAAGCUAACAGCACUUUAAAGAUGUUCCCGUGUCUUCUGGCCUUCAUAGUUUUUGAUGGGAAGUCAGAGGACAUGAGAAUCACUGUUUUCUUAUAAGUAAUGUGUCGCUUUUCCUCUGGCUGAUUGCAAGAUUUAUCUUUAGCCUGUUAGCUGCUUGACUAUGACACAUCUGACAUGGGCUAAGGUUCACUGGGCUUCUUGAAUCUGUAUGCAUAUGCAUGUGCAUAUGCCCUCCACCAAAUCUGGAAAAAUCUUAGCCAGUAUAUUUCCUAAUAUUUUUUUCUGCCCCAAGAGAGGUUUUUUCUACUCAGAAAGAAUAUGAAGACCAGAUGACUCCUUAAAAGUACUUUCAGGAAAAAAAUCAUCAACCCAGGAUGCUAUAUCUAACAAAAAUAUCCUGCAAGAAUAAAGGGAAAAUAAAAUAUUCUUAAGAAA
rnacentral:lncRNA from 10 species